UAGAUACCCUGGUAGUCCACGCCCUAAACGAUGCACACUAGUUGUUGCUAUGCUAGACAUAGCAGUAAUGCAGUUAACACAGUAAGUGUGCCGCCUGGGGAGUACGGUCGCAAGAUUAAAACUCAAAGGAAUAGACGGGGACCCGCACAAGCGGUGGAGCAUGUGGUUUAAUUCGACGAUACGCGAAGAACCUUACCUGGCCUUGACAUAAGAAGAACUUUCCAGAGACGGAUUGGUGCUAGUUUACUAGAACUUCUAUACAGGUGCUGCACGGCUGUCGUCAGCUCGUGUCGUGAGAUGUUGGGUUAAGUCCCGCAACGAGCGCAACCCUCGUGUUUAGUUACUAACAGUUCGGCUGAGGACUCUAAACAGACUGCCUGGGUAACCAGGAGGAAGGUGAGGACGACGUCAAGUCAUCAUGGCCCUUACGGCCAGGGCUACACACGUGCUACAAUGGGGUAUACAAAGAGCUGCAAUACGGUGACGUGGAGCAAAUCUCAUAAAAUAUCUCCCAGUUCGGAUUGAAGUCUGCAACUCGACUUCAUGGAGUUGGAAUCGCUAGUAAUCGUAGAUCAGCAAUGCUACGGUGAAUACGUUCCCGGGUCUUGUACUCACCGCCCGUCACACCAUGGGAAUUGAAUUCAUUCGAAGCGGGGAUGCUAAAAUAGCUACCUUCCACAGUGGAUUUAGUAACUAGGGUGAAGUCGUAACAAGGUA
rnacentral:rRNA from 1 species